CCAGACUUAUAAGUUAUAACGCUAAAAACUGGGUUACGAUACUUGUGCUGGUAAUAGCACAGAUAUCUUAUUGUGUAGUUUUGUGCUUAUAUAACUAUUAAUAAACAAACAAAAAAUUAAGGAGUAGCUUCAUUUUGUUAUAUGGUCACAUAUAGAUGACCAAGGAUUUAUUGACAUGCUGCGGAAAUAUCCUAAAUCUGGUCUAAGUCUAAAACUGUCACGUUUUUGGAAGGGACUGUUUGUCUUGGAAGGAGUUUUCUUCUGUGGAACAUUUUUUGUUUAUUAUCAACUUAAUACAUCAAGAGAUUUCAGGCACUGGAUGUACAAGAAAAAUUUCACAAUUUUGGAUGGUCAGUAUCUCUACAAUUUUG